AUGACAGCACGUCUGGGUCCCCGGCUCCGAGCACGUCCACGGGCUGAGGUCGUGCUCGAGGCCACGGACGAUGGGGCUAAGGUGGGAGAGGAGGAAGAGAUGGAGGACGGGGAUCCGGCCGCGGUUUACUGUCGGAACUAUAGCUGGAACUGGAGGAACUGCAGCGGAUACAGGCUCUCCAGGCAGAGCAGAUUGCUUAUGAGGAUUCCUUGAUUGGGAGCAUGGACCUCAGCGCAUCUCAUCAGAUGAUCCGGGCUGUGUUGCAAAAUGACCCAUCCUACAUUUUUGACCUGAGAUCAGUCACAUCAGGUGCUCUACCCGUCCCAGGAUCCACUGCUGGACCCUCAUGGUGUGUGUGUGGGAGGUGCCGCGAAAUGCCGACAGACCUGGAGAGAAAGCGCUGUGGCCACCAACCUGAUGAAUGCUUGUCCAUCAUGCCAUAAAAUGGACAUUUAUUUACUGAUGGGGGGGUUACUUGCGCAUAGCCAGGAGAAUGUAUGAACCGGGAAAAUGAUUUAGGCGCACAGUGUGCGAGUAAACACAACCUACUGUUUACCAUAAUGGGUAUUGGAUGUUUUUUCAUCAAUAACUGAUCAAAUAAAUGUAUUUUAAAACUCA